rnacentral:pre_miRNA from 1 species
GCCAAAAUGUUGCCUUUAUCUGCAUUUGCACCUGCACCUUACUUUUGUUUCUUUAAAAAUUUCAACAAUCAAGAUCCUUGUUUUUCCUCUCAUUUCUAGAGUGUCAGAGAAACUUUUUGAUCCAAGAAAAGAGAGGUGCAGGUGUAAGUGCAGGUGAAUGCCAUUUUGGU